GAUGAACGCUAGCUACAGGCUUAACACAUGCAAGUCGAGGGGCAGCAUGAACUUAGCUUGCUAAGUUUGAUGGCGACCGGCGCACGGGUGAGUAACACGUAUCCAACCUGCCGAUGACUCGGGGAUAGCCUUUCGAAAGAAAGAUUAAUACCCGAUGGCAUAGUUCUUCCGCAUGGUAGAACUAUUAAAGAAUUUCGGUCAUCGAUGGGGAUGCGUUCCAUUAGGUUGUUGGCGGGGUAACGGCCCACCAAGCCUUCGAUGGAUAGGGGUUCUGAGAGGAAGGUCCCCCACAGUGGAACUGAGACACGGUCCAAACUCCUACGGGAGGCAGCAGUGAGGAAUAUUGGUCAAUGGACGAGAGUCUGAACCAGCCAAGUAGCGUGAAGGAGGACUGCCCUAUGGGUUGUAAACUUCUUUUAUACGGGAAUAAAGUGAGGCACGUGUGCCUUUUUGUAUGUACCGUAUGAAUAAGGAUCGGCUAACUCCGUG
rnacentral:rRNA from 1 species